rnacentral:rRNA from 1 species
CCUACGGGAGGCAGCAGUGAGGAAUAUUGGUCAAUGGGCGGGAGCCUGAACCAGCCAAGUCGCGUGAGGGACGACGGUCCUAUGGAUUGUAAACCUCUUUAGGCGGGGAGCAAUGCCGGGCACGUGUGCCCGGAGGGAGAGUACCCGCAGAAUAAGCAUCGGCUAACUCCGUGCCAGCAUCCGCGGUAAUACGGAGGAUGCGAGCGUUAUCCGGAUUUAUUGGGUUUAAAGGGUGCGUAGGCGGAUUUUUAAGUCAGCGGUAAAAGGUCCGGGCUCAACCCGGGCGGGCCGUUGAAACUGGGGAUCUUGAGUGGGCGAGAGGUAUGCGGAAUGCGUGGUGUAGCGGUGAAAUGCAUAGAGAUCACGCAGAACUCCGAUUGCGAAGGCAGCAUACCGGCGCCCGACUGACGCUGAGGCACGAAAGCGUGGGGAUCGAACAGGAUUAGAUACCCCUGUAGUC